AGGGCUUAAUUAGGCAUUUGGCCAAUUAAAACAGUCCCAGCAUUGACCACAAUAUCAUUCACAUAAUGUAAAACUUCCAUUAACCCCAAGUCAAUAUUUUGCUAGUGCUUAGUUGUCACUUUCAUAAGGGAAAAUUUUGUUUUAUAUAUUUUCCAAUAAUCAAUAACUAAAAAUAUUUGCAACAAAUGUGAAAUUAAUUUGCUGUGGAGGAAGGGAGUGGAGAGCAAUAAUGAAAGAAAUAAAAUCUCUCUAAGGGUUGUAUCAAACUACCAAUAUACAUAAUUAUUAAAGGCUCAAGGCGCACUA
rnacentral:misc_RNA from 1 species